UUGAUAUGUUCACCCCAGCCGGUGACAAAUGUCUUUCUCUCCCCUGCCUGAGUCUAUCCUUGAUAUGUUCAUAUUAACCGAUGACAAAUAUUCUCAUUUGUGAUGUUCUACCCAGUAAAAAGGUAGUUGUAAUCCCUACUGUGUUUCCCAGAGAGUUAAUCCUUGAUAUGUUCAUCCUAACCGAUGACGGGUUUUCUUCUCUUUGUGGUAUCCUACCCAACAACCGGUAGUUGUAAACCCUACUUUUUCCCGCAGAGUUUAUCCUUG
rnacentral:lncRNA from 1 species